rnacentral:sRNA from 1 species
CUUUUCGAGUCUAUAUGUUAUUUCUAGAGUCUUUUCUUGUCAUUUUCAGGUCUUUACAUGUUUGGGAUUUAUUUGGAGAUAAUAGAGCAUUCUGUAGGAAAACAGAGAAUUUAUACUGCUGAAGAAAUCCGGAAACUAAAAUACACGUA